CCCAUCUCCAUUGCUAGUACUACGGGAUGUCUAUAAGAGCAGAUCAUCGGGACAGCCUGCUGAAUUUCAUGAGGUGCCGAGGUGCGAGAGGGAGAUGCGAGAUUGAAAAAUCAAUCAAAAAAAUAAAAAAUAAAAAAUUCGAGCUACUUUUGUCGAAAAUUACGCACCAGUGCUGGCGACGAGUUUGAUCAAGUCGUAAACUGAAGACACCUCAGCUGGACCGGUGAAGACCAAAGAGGUAAGUUUCUCUUUUCAUUGUGCCAUUAUUUUUGUCCUGUAUGAAAUUUUGAAUGCUUACAAAAAGCUGCCUUACUCCUUCACGCGUGGCAAAGAAAUUACAACAGGGACGGGAUUGUUAAAUCAGGGUAAGCUCACUCUUUUCCUGUCACCGAAUUUCCCUCUGCGUGUCAUUUCGUGAAUCUACGGUAGAUUACAGAAGCUGGAAGUUACUGCAGUGUGAGUCACUUUGGCGCACAUGGGCAGUGACAACUGUGAAAAAAGGAGAGAAUGUCUUGUAGGGUGUAGGCUACGCUGACUGCAUGUUAACCAGGCUGCAUCCCCGCAGAUAGUAAGGGAAUCACGACGUUAUAUUUCCAAGGGUGUCGGUCAGUCUAUGUGGGACGGUGUCCAAACGGGCUGCCUCUUGGAAGUGUUCGUGCCUAACACAGCCAAUACUGGUGUCUGUAGUCAGGGUGGUAUGGGACAACAUGUACUCAUGUGUUGCUUGUUGGGGGUUAGGCUGGACCAAAUUAUAAGACACACCAACCCUCAAGAAAUCCAUCAGUGAAACGCUGCAUGUAGCCCCGAUGGAAGGACUUAUUUAAAUAAAGUGAACUAUUAUCCAGGCAGAGAUCCUCUCCCUAGUUCGCCAGCUUUUUCCUUUUUUUUCAUGUUGAAAUGACAUCGUGACGUGUUCUUGAGAUGAAGUCAAUUUUGCGUCAUUCCUGCGCACAUGCAGACGACUUCCAAUCACCCAUCUCUGGGCUUUAAAGACACAGUGCCAGUCGCCUAUAUACGUCCACAGCCUGCAUUGCGAUGUGUCUCUAUACUAGGUGGGGAGAUGAGGGGAGGUGAGGGGGUGGGAAGGCCUGGGGACCUGAUGAAAACUCCCCAAGGUAACUCCUGGAGGGGCCCAUGACCAGAAUUACAAUGAGCACAGUUCAACAACGUCUCCCGCUGUUUUUAGCCUUUAUGUCCGGAUGUGCGGGGCAUAUAUUCACACCGGCUUUAAACGAACUUGACAGAGCACUGGAAACAACACGAGCCUUAAAGAAAUGAACAACAACUGAAACAACCAGCGGCUCCUCGAAGCUGCUUGGUGCUGUCCGCGGUGCUGAACGUGGUCGGUGGGCUGACCUGCUGAAUUUAAACAACACUGUGUUACACAAAGAAGCUGCGAUUUCUGAUACACAUGUACACACAAACUAGGCUUCAUCUGAUUUGUUAUCAUACAAAUAGAGAACCAUUCGAAAUGUCCUCAUAUGGUAGCUAAAUGUAAUAGGUAUUUUAAAUUGUUAUUGGGAGAUAACCUUAGAGAUCCUUCUGUCUGUCCUCUGUGUAAGUUUGUGAUCAGGUCCAUAGUAAAAGUAGCAAUAUUCUAAACUCUCUGACCUCUAGCUAACGUGUGUAUGUCUAUUAGAAAUAGAGAGGCGCAUCUCUAGAGCUAUUUACGGCUCAGGCAGCAGCAGAAACUCGGCCAGCAGUGUUUGUCGGCCAGUGGAUGAUCUUCAGGACCAUGGACAGUGACAUAGUCCAGAUACUCGGUCUGUCACAGGAGAAAUUGGUCCAAUCACACAGUUGUUUUUUUUUUUUUUUUUACAUGUAUUUUUUCCAUAUGGGGUAGAGCUAUACUCAGAUUACUGUUACUAAUGUUAGCACUAAUAUAAGUAAGUUACAGUGACACCACCAGAGACAGACAGGCAAAAAUAUGACACAGGUAAAAGGCCAAGUCAGUCGUAACCUCUGACGCCACUUGGGUGAAAACUUUUGUACUUGUCGACUCACAGCGCUCCUCACCUUUAUAGAUUCCUUCAGAAGACACAUUGGUCACAUGAAAAGACACAAAAUCACCACCAUAAACCACUUGACAUAGCUCGAAACAAACAGUAUAUAAACAUGCGAUUAGUGCUUGUGAGUACUCAAAUUUCCUGACUGCUGACGUCAGUCCUAGAGUUACUCAGUUGAGCUUGCAUAAGCCACCAAACCACCCUGUUCUCCUGUCUGUCCAUAUCCUGUGGCUGACUCAUAGAUAAUCAGCAUGGAAAUCAAUACUACAAACACAACAAGUGGGCUAUGUAACUGCCUGUCUGGCCACCCAUAGCCUAAGGCCUCUGGUGGGAAAGGCUGUGAUGUGUGCUACUGUGAGCACUGUGUCAUAGUAUAUGAUCUGCUUUUGCUAAUGGCUGAGUAGUGUGCCACAGAGAUAUGGCAGGUAACUGUAAAGAGAACUAAAGAGCUUUUUUUUCUUUGCACUUCACGCCUUGAUUUGUUUAUGUAAUGCAAUUAUAGAUGACAUUUAAUUGUUAAACAAAGGGCAGCAUCACAAUGUUUCUCUCUGAAUCCCUCACAUUUCCCUCUGCAUGUUGUUACCAGCUUGUAUGCUUUCUUACUCUCUGCAGUCUGAUGUAAUAUUCUAUGCUACAGCUCUGUUCUACCAGUCAGUGCAUCAAUACCUUGGCUCUAGACUGCUUACUGCUAAAACUGCUCCAAAGUACAGUAACAGUCUACAGUCAUGGCUACUGACGUCUGGCAAACCUCUGCUCUGUGUGAUCAAAUUCACCUUUGUGACUGUAAGAGUUAAGAUGAGUGGGAAGAUGCUGCUGCACUGUGUGAAGUUUCCUUUCGGAGCUCAGCACUACUGAAGGCUGCAUCACCAACAUCAUCAAACCACCGAGGACGUCAGUGGUUACCACAGCCAAUCAUAUUUCGCCGGCUGUCUCCAUGGUGACCGUGGCAUUAGAUUGUUACUGUAGCAACAGCACCACUGGUAACAGUCUACAGCCAUGGUCGCUAGGGGGCAAAACACACAUCUGAACCAGAGUGGUGCAAAAGAGCAAGCUGUUAAAAAAAGACACGCUACAUGUAAGAGUCAGCAAGAGAGGAAAAGUGACAAAAAAUAUAAUUUUUCUAGAACAUAUUUUACAGCACUUGAUAUGAAGUGAGUCAUUCAUGUAAUUCAUUUGAUGAUUUAAAAAAUAAGAAGAUAAGAAAACAAAAAGAUUGACUCAAAUCAUGGUGGUUAAAAAUACAUGAUGUACAAUGCAAAAUAAGUCAAACUAAUACAAACAAAAGAGCCUGGCUGCAUAUAUAUACUGUAUGUAACUGAACUCUGUGAACCUGACCAUAAUUAAGCCCACAGAAGCAGAACUCCUUACAUGUCAGGGAAAAAAAACCUCACAUAUCUGCUGCACAUUUGAGAAGGAAUAUUCUAGUAUAUCCACAUUCUGGAGGAGGGAAGACUCCUCCACAAAUAAAUGAAAGUCUUGGGUGUAGAAGGUUUAUCAGAGCAGCAGUGUCAGGCGGAGGCUACCUGUCCACUCCUGAUGGAAACUGAUACACUUGUGCCAGGAGAAGAGCUCAGAGAACAUCCUGAAAGUGUUACUCCUUAUCACUGGUUAUAGCAGUGUGUUGGCUGUAGCUCUACAGGUUAUUCCGUUUUAUUUUCUUACAAAAGCUGUAGGGGUUUGAUCCUUCCUGAACUCAUUUCCAUGUCUGUGUUAUGGUACAUGCAUAUUUGAAUCAUAUCCAUGUAAUGUAGAAUUUCCUAUCAAUAAAUUAAUUAAUUAUUAACACAUCAAA